GCCAUCCAGUGCCAGGGAGCUGGAACUGGAGGACCGGCAGAGCCGACUGCAGCAGGAGCUGCGGGAGCGGAUGGCGGUGGAAGAUCACCUGAAGACCGAGGAGGAGCUGUCGGAGGAAAAGAAGAUCCUGAACGAGAUGCUGGAGGUGGUGGAGCAGAGAGACGCCCUCGUAGCCCUGCUGGAGGAGCAGCGGCUCCGGGAGAAGGAGGAGGACAAGGACCUGGAGGCUGUCAUGCUGUCAAAGGGCUUCAGCCUGAACUGGUCCUGAGCUCCCACCCACGCUGUGGCCGGCUGGCCUGUACAUCCGCCUGACCCAAGCUGGGCUCUCCCAGACCCCCGGAUCCGAGGUCUGAAAAGGCCUGGCACCUCCUGGGAGUUGGCGCUCAGUGUCCACGUGCCUCUUGGAAGCGGGUCAAGUGUGUGCUGUGGGGGACCCCAGGUGAAGGUGAUUACUGAGGUGGCUCCACCUCCUCAAAGAGACCUGGCCUGACUUCCUGCUCGCUUCAGGGAGAGACGAUCAUGGAGCAUAACAUGGGGGAAGAAAGACCUGCACGUGCCCCGAGAUGUGUGGUGACGGGCGCUCCUUGCACAGGCACGUCUAAUCAGAGAAGGAUGCUGCCCCCCGGUCAGAACCACAGCCACCAGAGUGCACCCCACAGAGAGGAGGAGACAACUGUCUUCAUGCUCCCUGAAGCACCACCAAAGAAGUGAAGGAGAUAGCCCAGGAAAGCCACAUGUGACUCAAGACCAGGAAGGGCCAUGGCCAGUACAGGUGACGGCUGCCCCAGCAUUGCAGGGAAGCCAGGGGGCCCGGCUCCUGAGUUCGUUAUGCAAGUAAAGAGGAUCCAGGAGGGGCCUGCUCCCGGCCCACCCCACACACUGGACCAAUGUGGCCAAAUGCCCCAGGCCCUUCUGACUGUGGCCUGAGGCUUGUGGAUUGCUGCAUUUUGCUUUUAAGUCACAACUGUUUUAACACUGGAAAAUGCUGACUUUGGAGGACAGGGGUGAGGCUGUUUCAAGCCCCCAGCUGACAGACAGGUGUUGGCCCUGUUCACGGCUCAGGUCGGGGCAGGAGUCAUCCUCCUCGGUGUUUUUCCUGCGUUUGCACAUUGAAAUGAAGCUGACAACCUGGCAAGACACUCAGCCGCUUUGGACCCUUUUUGUCAAUUAACUUAUUUUUUUUUUAAUACUUGAAGCAAUUUCAUUUUUAUAUCUGUACUAGAGACACUGAUCACCUGGCACCUGCUGUGGGAGUGACAGAGGUGUCCCAUCCCAGCCUGACUGAACACUGUUACAGCCAUCUAUUUAUUAGCCUUCUUCGUGGUGUUGCUGCCCAGCUGGCCUCAGGGAACAGCUGAGACCCUCGCAGGGGGCCCCUGCCCACCACGCUUCUGUCCCUCCUGUGCUUUGUGUCCAGCUCCUCUUCCUUCACCUGGCACCCUGUUCUCACUCUGGCACAAAACUUGCACCUCCCACGUGUCGAGGAGACAUUUCAGCCCUGUCUGAGGCCAGACCAGCAGGCACAGGUGCCUUGUCUCCCCCCAUGGGAACGCUGGCUCUGUAAGACCCAUAUUUUUUUCUGUUUGAGUGACGGGGUGUCAGCUUCCACAACACAUUUAUUAAAGAAAGUUGGGGUAAGCUCUCUUCCAGACUGGCUGAGACAGUGCCUGGUGGGACCUUGUCAUCGGUCUGGCUGAUGAGGAUACCUCAGCCCAGCCUCAGAGCCACCGGGAUAGAAAGGCAGGUGGUGUAGCAGGUACUGGGGUCUCGGUCAGUUUCUCACUCACAGGUAACAGCUCCAGCCCAAACAUCCCGGUACCUGGGUCUUCAUGGGGAGACAGGAUGCUAAGCACCAUGUAACCAGCCCCUUGAGCCAAACUCGGCUCAUUCCUCAUGGUUCAGCUAGAGGCUGGCUGUGUACAGCUCACAGAGCCACUGUCUGAGGAGACCUGGUGGGGCAGUGCUUGUCCAUCCACAGAAUGAGUGCCCAGUCAGCCCAGGAAGGGGGCCCGCCAGCACCAGGCCAGUCUGGGAGGAUCCUCCGGCCAACUCCUGUGAAGAGGGGCCAAUGUAGAGACGACGGACGCCUGGCAACUCUUCAAGGCCGCCUGAGAGCAGGGUGGGUCGGCAUCCGUGCUGACCUUGGAACUUGGGGAACCACACCGUGCCUCAACUUGAACACUCAUUCUCACUACAAAGGAGCAAAGAACCUGUCUUUAUCUUCACUUUGUCUAAAAGCUGCCAUCUCCCUCCUGUGGAAAUCCAGGAGGCGUGCUACUAGCAGCCCCCGCAGCUCUGACUUCUUCACUUCCUGUUUGCUGGUGAGACAGGCAGAGUCUCUGUUUUUAUUCUCUUUUUUUAAAAGGGGGAGAGGAGGUGUCCUAGAUUCCAUCUUUAGACCCCAACCUUUUAAUAAAAUUCGACUUGGGACAGGACCUUCAUCGUCUGUGUGGCCUUUUCCCUAACCCUCCCCUCUUAAAGGCCACCACACCUGACCAAGCCCCAGGAGAGUUGCCCCCAUCCCUGUAACUCCUGCUAACCCAGAACAAGGAAGUGGCUGGGAAGGGAUGUGGCCAUAGUGACCUCUGAGUAGCCUAAUGGAGCAGGAGCAGCGGGUGUUACUGUCUGCCCCUUGCUGCAACCUUCCACAGCACACACUGCUGCCUUCAGCCACUACAGAGGGGGCUAAAGACUUCACAGAGAAGCUUUCAAAAUCCAUAAGCCCAUAAAAUGUUUCUCAGCUCUCCAUUCCCAACAGUGUCACAACUUCAGGUUCUAGUACAGCACUUCUUUUUACAACUCCCAUGUCACAACCACUAGUUUGCAGUUUCUUUAGUCCCUGGUGACAUGCUGCAUGAAAUGCUUUCCAGCUCUGGAAAUGCAUGCAGCUCUAGCCGGGUUUUCUUCCUGAGAGUUAAGUUCCCUCCAGGGCAGAGGGAACAGGAUAUGUAUUUACCUGAAAUGCCAGCGGUCAGGUGAGCCCACAUACAAGGCCGACCAACCCAGUGGACAGCCAAGUUCAGCAUCACAGAAAGCGGGCAGCAGCUGGCACCCCUCCCCAGAGUCAGUCACCAGUGGCAAGACUGGCCAACCCACAGUGUGGGGUUCUGACCUGCUCAGAUGAUGCCUUUGGGCCUUUGUCUCCAGGGGCCAUCCUCCAGCUGCUUUUGAGCAGCGGUGAUAGACUAUUUAUCCUUUCCAAAGAGAAGAAAAUUCUCAGUGGUGCAGGAAGUAGAGAAAA